UGAUCUGACGAGCUUGCUCUGAUUUGAUUUUAUCUGACAAAGAGUGGCGAACGGGUGAGUAACACGUGGGUAACCUACCUCUUAGCAGGGGAUAACAUUUGGAAACAAGUGCUAAUACCGUAUAAUACCAACAACCGCAUGGUUGUUGGUUGAAAGAUGGUUCUGCUAUCACUAAGAGAUGGACCCGCGGUGCAUUAGCUAGUUGGUAAGGUAACGGCUUACCAAGGCAAUGAUGCAUAGCCGAGUUGAGAGACUGAUCGGCCACAAUGGGACUGAGACACGGCCCAUACUCCUACGGGAGGCAGCAGUAGGGAAUCUUCCACAAUGGGCGCAAGCCUGAUGGAGCAACGCCGCGUGUGUGAUGAAGGGUUUCGGCUCGUAAAACACUGUUAUAAGAGAAGAACGGCACUGAGAGUAACUGUUCAGUGUGUGACGGUAUCUUACCAGAAAGGAACGGCUAAAUACGUGCCAGCAGCCGCGGUAAUACGUAUGUUCCAAGCGUUAUCCGGAUUUAUUGGGCGUAAAGCGAGCGCAGACGGUUAUUUAAGUCUGAAGUGAAAGCCCUCAGCUCAACUGAGGAAUGGCUUUGGAAACUGGAUGACUUGAGUGCAGUAGAGGAAAGUGGAACUCCAUGUGUAGCGGUGAAAUGCGUAGAUAUAUGGAAGAACACCAGUGGCGAAGGCGGCUUUCUGGACUGUAAC
rnacentral:rRNA from 1 species